rnacentral:rRNA from 1 species
GAAGGAGCUUGCUCCUGAUUGAUAAACAUUUGAGUGAGUGGCGGACGGGUGAGUAACACGUGGGUAACCUGCCCUAAAGUGGGGGAUAACAUUUGGAAACAGAUGCUAAUACCGCAUAAAACCUAACACCGCAUGGUGUAGGGUUGAAAGAUGGUUUCGGCUAUCACUUUAGGAUGGACCCGCGGUGCAUUAGUUAGUUGGUGAGGUAAAGGCUCACCAAGACCGUGAUGCAUAGCCGACCUGAGAGGGUAAUCGGCCACACUGGGACUGAGACACGGCCCAGACUCCUACGGGAGGCAGCAGUAGGGAAUCUUCCACAAUGGACGAAAGUCUGAUGGAGCAACGCCGCGUGAGUGAAGAAGGUUUUCGGAUCGUAAAACUCUGUUGUUGGAGAAGAAUGUAUCUGAUAGUAACUGAUUAGGUAGUGACGGUAUCCAACCAGAAAGCCACGGCUAACUACGUGCCAGCAGCCGCGGUAAUACGUAGGUGGCAAGCGUUGUCCGGAUUUAUUGGGCGUAAAGCGAGCGCAGGCGGUUUCUUAAGUCUGAUGUGAAAGCCUUCGGCUCAACCGAAGAAGUGCAUCGGAAACUGGGAAACUUGAGUGCAGAAGAGGACAGUGGAACUCCAUGUGUAGCGGUGAAAUGCGUAGAUAUAUGGAAGAAC